rnacentral:rRNA from 1 species
AUACGUAGGUGGCAAGCGUUGUCCGGAUUUACUGGGCGUAAAGGGAGCGUAGGUGGAUAUUUAAGUGGGAUGUGAAAUACUCGGGCUUAACCUGGGUGCUGCAUUCCAAACUGGAUAUCUAGAGUGCAGGAGAGGAAAGUAGAAUUCCUAGUGUAGCGGUGAAAUGCGUAGAGAUUAGGAAGAAUACCAGUGGCGAAGGCGACUUUCUGGACUGUAACUGACACUGAGGCUCGAAAGCGUGGGGAGCAAACAGGAUUAGAUACCCUGGUAGUCCACGCAGUAAACGAUGGAUACUAGCUUUUGGUAUUUACAUAUCAGAGGCGUAGCGAAAGCGUUAAGUAUCCCACCUGGUGAGUACGGUCGCAAGAUUGAA